rnacentral:rRNA from 1 species
AGCGAACGCUGGCGGCAGGCCUAACACAUGCGAGUCGAACGAACUCUUCGGAGUUAGUGGCGGACGGGUGAGUAACACGUGGGAACGUGCCUUUAGGUUCGGAAUAACUCAGGGAAACUUGUGCUAAUACCGAAUGUGCCCUUCGGGGGAAAGAUUUAUCGCCUUUAGAGCGGCCCGCGUCUGAUUAGCUAGUUGGUGAGGUAAAGGCUCACCAAGGCGACGAUCAGUAGCUGGUCUGAGAGGAUGAUCAGCCACAUUGGGACUGAGACACGGCCCAAACUCCUACGGGAGGCAGCAGUGGGGAAUCUUGCGCAAUGGGCGAAAGGCUGACGCAGCCAUGCCGCGUGAAUGAUGAAGGUCUUAGGAUUGUAAAAUUCUUUCACCGGGGACGAUAAUGACGGUACCCGGAGAAGAAGCCCCGGCUAACUUCGUG